UUGCCCUGUCUGGAGCCCUGGCCGCCCAGGCUCAGCUGGCCGCGGCUGUCAAGGAGGACCAUGCGGGCGUGGAGGCCGAGGGGUCCAGAGAGUGCAUCUCCCUCGCCCCCUGAGAGUCUCGUGGAGGAGGAGCGACCGAGUGGCCCUGGUGGUGGUGGGAAGCAGAGAGCAGAUGAGAAGGAGCUGUCAGGACCUUAUGAAAGCGACGAAGACAAGAGUGACUACAAUCUGGUAGUGGAUGAGGACCAACCCUCAGAGCCCCCCAGCCCGGCUACCACCCCCUGCGGAAAGGUACCCAUCUGCGUUCCUGCCCGUCGGGACCUGGUGGACAGUCCGGCCUCCUUGGCCUCUAGCCUUGGCUCACCGCUCCCUAGAGCCAAGGAGCUCAUCCUGAAUGACCUUCCCGCCAGCACUCCUGCCUCCAAGUCCUGUGACUCCUCCCCACCCCAGGACGCGUCCACCCCCGGGCCCAGCUCAGCCAGUCACCUCUGCCAGCUCGCUGCCAAGCCAGCGCCUUCCACGGACAGUAUCGCCCUGAGGAGCCCCCUGACUCUGUCCAGUCCCUUCACCACGU
rnacentral:sRNA from 1 species